ACACACUUUAAUUUGAUGUAAGAUUUAUAUAUAAGAAAAAAUUUUAUGGGCUUUUUGAAAUAUCCAGCUAAUAACAUUGAACAAAACUAUAAAUAGUAUUUCAGUUCACUUAUAUUUUUUGACAAAAUUGGUGCCAGCAGUCGCGGUCAUACCAGUAAAAAUAUAAAAUAUUUAGAAUACUUAUAUUAAAAAAGAAAUUAUUUUAUAGUAAAAUAUAAAUAAUCCUUAACCAAAAAAUUUUAAGUAAAAUUCAUUUAUAAAACCAGGAUUAGAUACCCUGCUAUUAAAGAACAUAAAAGAAAAUUCUAAGCACUAAAAUUUUAAAAAUUAAAACUUAAAAAUUAUGGCGGUAAACAAAAAUUUCAGGGGAACUUACCAGGUAAUUGAUAACCCACAAGUUACUCAACUUAUUUUAAUAGUUUAUAUAUUGCCGUGUAUGUUUCCCUUAAAGCGAAACAUUUUAUAAAUACCACAGGUCAUAAUAUAGCAAAUAUUUAAGUCUUAAGGUGAGUUACAAUAUAGUUUGUCAGAAUUCUUUUUGAAAAUAUAGAAUAAAGAUGGACUUGAAAGUAAAUAUAAAUAAUAAAUAUUGAAUAUUGUUUUGUUUGUGCACAAAUCGCCCGUCACUCUUUCUUUUUUAAGAAAGACAAGUCGUAACAUAGUAGAGGUAGCGGAAGCUGUCUCUUUUUUUGA
rnacentral:rRNA from 1 species